rnacentral:lncRNA from 10 species
AUGUGAGGUUACAGCAAAAAGACAGCCACCUUAUGAACCAGGAAGCAGGCUGCCCUCAGACUUUGAAUCUGCUGGUGCCUUGAUCUUGGACUUCCCAGCUUCCAGAACUGUGAGAAAUAAGUUUCUGUUGUUUAUAAACCACCCAGUCUAUGGUAUUUUGUUAUAGCAUCCCAAAUGAAGUAAGAAAGGCUCUGAAUUAAGAUUAGGAAAUUUAGUCACAAAUGGGCUUUAAAUAACCUUUCCCAAAGUCACAAAACUUAGUUGCAUACCUGAGUUUUAAUAUUACAUGCUGGCUCUUAUUGAGGGCAUUCUAAGAUAGCCCACCUCUGUCCAUGGCCUCACUUUAUCCCUUCAAGUAAGAACACAGACCAGUAAAGAAGCUACCAACUUGCUGCCUGACACUCUGUGUAUUUGGGGGAAUUUCUGCUCUUUGGACUGGUUAAGAAUGCAAAGGAUGGGCAGCAGUAGGCACUAGCUUUCCUUUUUGAUGCUACAAACAGUCUAGGACAGGAAAAGAAAUGGGCGUUUGCAUUGAGAAGACAUGACAAUCAGCAAAUGAGGCUUCACAGCUGAAACCAACUCCACUGAGAUUGUAUCAAUUGAAGAGGCCAUGUGUUCAAGAUGAUGGAGCUACCGAGUGGCAAAUCUUCCCUCAGCCGUGGACCAGUGUGUCACCAUAUAGAGAACAGUUACCCAGGAGUGUACUCAUCCUGUAUGAAAUUCGGGUCCAAAUUUCCUUGGUACUAAUAUCCCUGGAAGCAUCCCUCUGCCAAUAAUAACAUAGAUGUCGGUGGAAAUGAGAGCACUUUGAAGAUACAUCCAUGAUGCUGGCUACCCGUAAAGAAAAUAAACUGAGUGUCAAUGGAACAGACAGAGAAUCAGAGAACAAAAGAAAGUCAAGAGAUUUACCCAAGCUCUGAUGUUGGUUUCAUGGCUUGGAUCAAGGAGGGCAGCCUAGGUUGACUGAGAUUGACUGCCUGGCUAGCUGUGCUGAGAAGGAUCAUGAGGCUGUUUGGCAGCAACACUGCUAUCCUUACCUUAGAUGGAGGCAUUGGAAAACAGGUAAAUGAAACAGUGAUUUUAAAAUGAUAUAAUAGUGUUUAGUGGUUAGAUUUCACCCAAUUGACUUUUUAAAAGGAAAGUCUCAUUUACUGAACAAAAAUAUGUUGAAUAACUAUAUGUCUGGGAAAAUAGUAGGCACUGUAAGAAGCAAAAUAAAAGAUGACAUUAUGUUGGGCUGGGUGCAGUGGCUCACACCUGUAAUGCCAGCACUUUGGGAGGCUGAGGCAGGUGGACCACAAGGUCAGGAGAUCGGGACCAUCC